UACGGGGGGGAGCAAGCGUUGUUCGGAUUUACUGGGCGUAAAGGGCGCGUAGGCGGCCAGCACAAGUCAGUUGUGAAAUCUCCGGGCUUAACCCGGAAAGGUCAAUCGAUACUGCGGGGCUAGAGUGCAGAAGGGGCAACUGGAAUUCUCGGUGUAGCGGUGAAAUGCGUAGAUAUCGAGAGGAACACCUGCGGCGAAGGCGGGUUGCUGGGCUGACACUGACGCUGAAGCGCGAAAGCUAGGGGAGCGAACGGG
rnacentral:rRNA from 1 species